CCCCGCUGGAAAAUUAAGCAUAUCAAUAAGCGGAGGAAAAGAAACCAACAGGGAUUGCCUCAGUAACGGCGAGUGAAGCGGCAACAGCUCAAAUUUGAAAUCUGGCGCAAGCCCGAAUUGUAAUUUGUAGAAGAUGCUUCGGGUGCGGUACCGGUCUAAGUUCCUUGGAACAGGACGUCAUAGAGGGUGAGAAUCCCGUACGUGACUGGUUACCUAACCUAUGUGAAGCUCUUUCGACGAGUCGAGUUGUUUGGGAAUGCAGCUCAAAAUGGGUGGUAUAUUUCAUCUAAAGCUAAAUAUUGGCCAGAGACCGAUAGCGCACAAGUAGAGUGAUCGAAAGAUGAAAAGCACUUUGGAAAGAGAGUUAAACAGUACGUGAAAUUGUUGAAAGGGAAGCGCUUGCAACCAGACUUGCGCGUAGUCGAUCAUCCGGUGUUCUCACCGGUGCACUCGACUGCGUUCAGGCCAGCAUCGGUUUGGGUGGUUGGAUAAAGGCUGUGGGAAUGUGGCUCCCCCGGGAGUGUUAUAGCCCACGGUGCAAUGCAGCCUACCUGGACCGAGGACCGCGCUUCGGCUAGGAUGCUGGCGUAAUGGUUGUAAGCGACCCGUCUUGAAACACGGACCAAGGAGUCUAACAUCUAUGCGAGUGUUUGGGUGUCAAACCCAUACGCGUAAUUAACGUGAACGGAGGUGAGAACCCUUAAGGGUGCAUCAUCGACCGAUCCUGAUGUCUUCGGAUGGAUUUGAGUAAGAGCAUAGCUGUUGGGACCCGAAAGAUGGUGAACUAUGCCUGAAUAGGGUGAAGCCAGAGGAAACUCUGGUGGAGGCUCGCAGCGGUUCUGACGUGCAAAUCGAUCGUCAAAUUUGGGCAUAGGGGCGAAAGACUAAUCGAACCAUCUAGUAGCUGGUUCCUGCCGAAGUUU
rnacentral:rRNA from 1 species